AAGGGUAUAGCUCAGUGGUAGAGCACAUGCUUAGCAUGCACGAGGUCCUGGGUUCAAUCCCCAGUCCCUCCA
rnacentral:tRNA from 1 species